rnacentral:rRNA from 1 species
GACGAACGCUGGCGGCGUGCUUAACACAUGCAAGUCGAACGGAAAGGCCUCUUUCGGGGGGUACUCGAGUGGCGAACGGGUGAGUAACACGUGAGUAACCUGCCCUUGACUUUGGGAUAACUUCAGGAAACUGGGGCUAAUACCGGAUAGGAGCUCCUGCUGCAUGGUGGGGGUUGGAAAGUUUCGGCGGUUGGGGAUGGACUCGCGGCUUAUCAGCUUGUUGGUGGGGUAGUGGCUUACCAAGGCUUUGACGGGUAGCCGGCCUGAGAGGGUGACCGGCCACAUUGGGACUGAGAUACGGCCCAGACUCAUACGGGAGGCAGCAGUGGGGAAUAUUGCACAAUGGGUGGAAGCCUGAUGCAGCAACGCCGUGUGCGGGAUGACGGCCUUCGGGUUGUAAACCGCUUUCGGUCAUGACGAAGGUUUGUGUGACGGUAGUGGGUAAAGAAGCACCGGCUAACUACGUG